rnacentral:rRNA from 1 species
AUUGAACGCUGGCGGCAUGCCUUACACAUGCAAGUCGAACGGCAGCACGGGUGCUUGCACCUGGUGGCGAGUGGCGAACGGGUGAGUAAUAUAUCGGAACGUACCUUAUUGUGGGGGAUAACGCAGCGAAAGCUGUGCUAAUACCGCAUAAUCCCUAAGGGGGAAAGCGGGGGACCGUAAGGCCUCGCGCAAUUAGAGCGGCCGAUACCUGAUUAGCUAGUUGGUGAGGUAAAGGCUCACCAAGGCAACGAUCAGUAGCUGGUCUGAGAGGACGAUCAGCCACACUGGGACUGAGACACGGCCCAGACUCCUGCGGGAGGCAGCAGUGGGGAAUUUUGGACAAUGGGGGCAACCCUGAUCCAGCAAUGCCGCGUGAGUUAAGAAGGCCUUCGGGUUGUAAAGCUCUUUUGUCAGGGAAGAAACAGCAGCUCUAACACAGUAUGCGAAUGACGGUACCUGAAGAAUAAGCACCGGCUAACUACGUGCCAGCCGCCGCAGUAA